rnacentral:pre_miRNA from 1 species
AGUGAGAUUGCUGGAUUAUGUGGUAAGAGUAUGUUUAGUUUUGUAAGAAAUUGCCAAACUGUGUUCCAAAGUGACUGUACCAUUUUGCAUUCCCACCAGCAAU